CCUACGGGUGGCUGCAGUGGGGAAUAUUGGGCAAUGGAGGCAACUCUGACCCAGCAACGCCGCGUGAAUGAUGACGGUCCUCCGAUUGUAAAGUUCUGUGAUCGGGGAUGAACACAAUGACGGUCCCCCACUCCCAAGCCACGGCUAACUACGUGCCAGCAGCUGCGGGAAUACGUAGGGGGCAAGCGUUAUCCGGAAUGACUGGGCGUAAAGGGUGCGUAGGUGGUUUAGUAAGUUGGCGGUGUAAUUCCGGGGCUCAACCUCGGCGCUACCGCCGAAACUGGUGGACUAGAGUGCAGGAGGGGUAAGUGGAAUGCCUAGUGUAGCGGUGGAAUGCGUAGAUAUUAGGAGGAACAUCAGGGGCGAAGGCGACUUACUGGACUGUAACUGACACUGAGGCACGAAAGCGUGGGGAGCAAACAGGAUUAGAUACCCGAGUAGUC
rnacentral:rRNA from 1 species